CGGACUUUCACCUGCGGACUGGCCCAAAAUUUUUGACAGCAGUCCGCAGUUUCUCCACAGGGUAGCUGUCCGCAGUCCGCGUAUUAUACGGGGAUACAGCAUUCCAUAUAGACAUGUCUAUGCGUUGGUAAGGCAGAAAAUUGGACAAGACAGAUCAACCUUAUUUUUGUCAUGCAUUGGCUGUUGUUCGAUAACUGUUGCUUUUUAAAAAUAUGUAUGCAUGCAACAAUUCCAAUGAAUAAAAAUUAAAAUGCGGACAGCUCUUAGCAGCUGACUAUUUUAUUUAUUUUUUUCCUAUAGAUCUUAUUGCAAUUCAAAAGUACGCGACAAGCCAAAAGUCGUGCGCAGCUUACGCCGAUGCGCACCACUGUGGCCUAUAGCCGAACUAAAAAUUGUUUUAUGCUUGACUAUAACCAUAUGUCAUGACCAUGAGUGCGAUCUGUCUGCUUAACGGUAAAGCAUCGUACGAAUGGUUAUAGUCAAGCAUAAACAACACAGUCUCAGUGACUCGAGUCCAACCUCGGACCUUUUCAGCUUUGAAAGUUAGGUCCAAGGUUGGACUCGAGUCUUCACUACUGUUAUCGUCGGAUAACCGCUAGGGGGGGACGUUAGAAAAUCCGUCAAGCAAUUUUCACGCCAUUAUCGUGAUAUUAUUGUUUUUAAACGAUUAAUCGAAAUUCCAGGGAUGUAAUUAAUCAAUGUUAAUGAUAUAUUUUGUGGGUGGAAUUUUAAGGGCUUCAAGCUUGUGAUUUAACAUUAGCUUUCCCUUUCAUAUAAAAUUUCAGAAAAGUCGUUUGGUACUACCGUUUAGUUCCACCCGAUUUGUUAUUGUUUGUCAGUGGUUUCUCAAAACAUUGAAAUUCAAAAUUGUGUGGUUUUUUUUUUUUGCUAAUCUGGGACAUUGUUUCAACAUAAAAGAACUGAGAUGGAGGAAGACGAGGAAUCGCGAUCUCGUAAAUUAGUGAAAGAAUUUUUAGCAAGUUUAAAGAAAAGCGAAAAUUCCCGGAAGAAUAAGGAAAGACGAGAAUCUAAACGAAAGGAAGCUGGAUAUCCAAGCAAACGACCAAAAUGCUUUGUAAAAUUGGACGGUGUUAAGGUGAAAUUGACAAUAAAUAUGAAGAAAGGUAGUGGAUACCAAACAGAGGCUGGAUGCUGAGCAACUGUCAGGUGUCAAAAUACUAGCAAUUUAUAAUAAUUACAAUUCAAAUUCAAAUUCUCACAUUUCAAUUCUCAAAUUACAAUUCUCACAUUACAAUUCUCAAAUUGCAAUUCUCACCUCAAAUUUAAUCUCCUCUCAUGGAAUUUACUCCACAACAAAGUGCUUCAACAUCCCGUCUGAAAUUAUGCAAAGAGUAUUUCCCAAUGUCCCCUGAUAUUUUCCUAAUUCACCUGUCCGAUGUUAAAAGUGAAGCCAUAAUUGUUUAUAUUCCUCACAGUCGGACUAAGUGUUCCGAAGAAGAACUCUGCAACAAAGGGAAGAAAAUGUGGGAAGAAAAGAACAAAGUUGAGGCCCAGAGAGCUACAAUUGUCAAGCAACCUGCACUCCUGCAGCAAUCAAACGUGUAGACUGUUUUUAAAAGUAUUGAUUAUUGGAAUGUCAUGAUGCAAAUACAUUUCAAAUUUUAAAACAA
rnacentral:lncRNA from 1 species